rnacentral:rRNA from 1 species
AGAGUUUGAUCAUGGCUCAGGAUGAACGCUAGCGGCAGGCUUAACACAUGCAAGUCGAGGGGCAGCGGGGUGUAGCAAUACAUCGCCGGCGACCGGCGCACGGGUGCGUAACACGUAUGGAAUCUGCCCUGUACUGGGGAAUAGCCCUCCGAAAGGAGGAUUAAUACCCCGUAAUAGCUUGAGUGGCAUCACUCGGGUUUGAAAGCUCCGGCGGUACAGGAUGACCAUGCGCACGAUUAGCUAGUAGGUGAGGUAACGGCUCACCUAGGCUACGAUCGUUAGGGGGCCUGAGAGGGUUAUCCCCCACACUGGUACUGAGACACGGUCCAGACUCCUACGGGAGGCAGCAGUAGGGAAUAUUGGACAAUGGGCGAAAGCCUGAUCCAGCCAUGCCGCGUGGUAGAUGAAGGCCCUCUGGGUUGUAAAUACCUUUUAUCUGGGAAGAAAUAUCUCGUUCUCGAGAAACUGACGGUACCAGAUGAAUAAGCACCGGCUAACUCCGUGCCAGCAGCCGCGGUAAUACGGAGGGUGCAAGCGUUAUCCGGAUUCACUGGGUUUAAAGGGUGCGUAGGCGGAAUUGUAAGUCAGUGGUGAAAGCCCCGAGCUUAACUUGGGAACUGCCAUUGAUACUGCUUUUCUUGAAUGCGAUUGAGGUAAGCGGAAUGUUGCAUGUAGCGGUGAAAUGCUUAGAUAUGUUACAGAACUCCAAUUGUGAAGACAGCUUACUAAGUCGUGAUUGACGCUGAGGCACGAAAGCGUGGGGAGCAAACAGGAUUAGAUACCCCGGUAGU